UGUGUCAGGUGUUCUGAGCCAGCCAAUAGAGACACGGGCUCGAGCAGCGCCUCAGAGUGUGGCCGCCAUCUUGUGGCGGGCGGGGCGGAUGAUGGCGUGGGGUUGUAUUCUGCGUGCUCGCAGGCGUGGCCUGGGCAGAAGGAGGAUGCCAUGGGCGGCACAUCCCGCCCCUCCCCGCGUGUUUCAGAGAGAAGCAGAAAGGUUUUCUGUCCCACCGGAUAGACCCACCCAGAGCCCAGCCGUGGAAUUGCCCCUUGUAAGGAGUGAUCUUAGUUCCCGACCCAGUCAGGUUUUGGCUUUACCAUGAAACAUCUGCAACAAUGACAGACAACACUGGAAGUGCUGUUCUUGUAUUCCUGCAGAUCUGUGUUCCUUUCUAUGUGACUUCACUGAUGAAACCUAACCAUGACCUUUUUCAUUCUUACUGUAUUCUCACAAACUGAUUAAUUUCUUUGAUAAUACUUCAAAUACUAAAAAGCCGCUUUCUAUUGCAGAACACUGAAUUUCAGCUGGAAAAGUAGUCCUAUCAUUAUAAAAAUGUUCAGAGGGUAUUGAAAUUAAUUUAUAUCAUUUAUUUAGUGGGUCAGCAUUUAUUUUCUAAAAUACAAUUGUAAAAUCGUUGCACUAUUUGGAGUUUUGAGCACAAUACCAACCAAGAAGCAGCUCUACUGCAAGAGUGAGCAAGACAAUGAGGCACGCAUAGAGCAUUUAGUUAAAAAAAACCAUCCAGUUCUCUUGUGCCUGGGGGCAGGGGGAAGGGAAGAAAUACUAGCAUAUUUUUUAAAAAGUAAUUUGUUCCACCAGCAGUACUGGCCACCCUGUUGAAGAGUUUUAGAAGAUCCCUGAGCACAUUAGUUUCUGACUUCUAACCCCAGCUCCAAAAUGAUAGGGCUUCUCUUGUUGAUAACGAGAUGGAUUGUCAUUCACAGUUAAGUCAAUCAUAAGGUGCUUAAUCUAUUUACCCUUUUUUUUUCACCAAUCAGCACAAAGAACUGUCAGAAAAUAACUUUUAUUUUUCUUUUUUAAAUAAUAAAAGGGCACAAAAUUUAAACAAUAUUUUGUGACAGUGGUUUAGGAUUAUUAUCUGGCUGCCCCUCAACAACAGACAAGUGAUUCAA